UAUUAUAUCAUUUAUUUGUUUUUUUUUCUCUUUUUUCUUUGAUGAUCAAAUAGGUAAGAGAGCUUUCUUCAGUCCACUUAUGGGUGGAGGUGGGAUUUAAUUAGCUGCCGACUCAUUCAUCCAAAUACUGAGUUAGAAUGGAUCAGCUAAAUGAUACCCAGUAAAUGAGUGAAUGAUGCGGGAGAUAAAUUGAAAUCCUCAACUUCCUGUGCUUGGACUGAAGGGAGCUCCCUCUUCUGUUAUUUUAUCCAUCUUAAACAUUUUAUA